GCUGCUUGAGGCGACUGUUGUGUAACCAGAGACUCACUCACAGACAAUAGCACACAGUUUCGUUCGUUGUAAUCUUAGCGGCUGGCUCAGAACAUGUAGCGGUUGCUGUAAGGCCAACGGAACAUCAAUGCCAUUUAAUGCUAGACUGUUAUUUGUCAUUAAGCUAAGACAAAUGAUUUAGGCUUAGGCGUACAAUCCUCUUUUAUUGAAACAGUGCUAUUGUCGCCCAAAACACAGCAGUAGCUGAGGCAGGUUUGUUGCCACAUUGACGACGUCUUUAGUAAUCUGAGUGCU